rnacentral:rRNA from 1 species
UGGGAGCUGGUAAUGCCCGAAGUCGGUUUAUAAACAAACUGCCUAAGGCAGGACUGGUGACUGGGGUUAAGUCGUAACAAGGUAUCCCUACGAGAACGUGGGGAUGGAUUACCUCCUUU